CCCUUAGAUGUUCUGGGCCGCACGCGCGCUACACUGAUGCAUUCAACGAGCCUAUCCUUGACCGACAGGUCCGGGUAAUCUUUGAAUCUGCAUCGUGACGGGGAUAGAUUAUUGCAAUUAUUAAUCUUCAACGAGGAAUGCCUAGUAGGCGCAAGUCAUAAGCUUGCGUCGAUUACGUCCCUGCCCUUUGUACACACCGCCCGUCGCUACUACCGAUUGAACGUUUUAGUGAGCUCCUCGGAUUGUCAGCCUGGCGGUUAAUCCUGCCUGGCUAGCGAAAAGACGAGCAAACUUGAGCGUUUAGAGGAAGUAAAAGUCGUAACA
rnacentral:rRNA from 1 species